rnacentral:rRNA from 1 species
CGGACGGGUGAGUAAUGUCUGGGAAACUGCCUGAUGGAGGGGGAUAACUACUGGAAACGGUAGCUAAUACCGCAUAACGUCGCAAGACCAAAGAGGGGGACCUUAGGGCCUCUUGCCAUCGGAUGUGCCCAUAUGGGAUUAGCUUGUAGGUAAGGUAACGGCUUACCUAGGCGACGAUCCCUAGCUGGUCUGAGAGGAUGACCAGCCACACUGGAACUGAGACACGGUCCAG